GCCAGACUCCUACGGGAGGCAGCAGUGGGGGAUAUUGCACAAUGGGGGGAACCCUGAUGCAGCGACGCCGCGUGGGUGAAGGAGUAUUUCGGUAUGUAAAGCCCUCUCGGCAGGGAAGAAGCAAGACAGUACCUGACUAAGAAGCCCCGGCUAACUACGUGCCAGCAGCCGCGGUAAUACGUAGGGGGCAAGCGUUAUCCGGGUUUACUGGGUGUAAAGGGAGCGUAGACGGCGAUGCAAGUCUGAAGUGAAAGGCGGGGGCCCAACCCCCGGACUGCUUUGGAAACUGGAUGGCUGGAGUGCAGGAGAGGUAAGUGGAAUUCCUAGUGUAGCGGUGAAAUGCGUAGAUAUUAGGAGGAACACCAGUGGCGAAGGCGGCUUACUGGACUGUAACUGACGUUGAGGCUCGAAAGCGUGGGGAGCAAACAGGAUUAGAUACCCCCGUAA
rnacentral:rRNA from 1 species